rnacentral:rRNA from 1 species
UACGGAGGGGGCAAGCGUUAUCCGGAAUUACUGGGUUUAAAGGGUGCGUAGGCGGCCUGAUAAGUCAGGGGUGAAAGCCUGUCGCUUAACGAUAGAAUUGCCUUUGAUACUGUAAACCUUGAAAGCGGUUGAGGUCAGCAGAAUGUGGCAUGUAGCGGUGAAAUGCAUAGAUAUGCCAUUGAACACCGAUUGUGAAGGCAGCCGGCUAACCUUGCUUUGACGCUGAGGCACGAAAGCGUGGGUAGCGGGCAUG